rnacentral:lncRNA from 1 species
GUGAGUGGGAGUCCAGAUUUGGUGCAGUGUCAUCUAGGGCUCCUCUCUGUGUCUCCCCAAAACUCAUAUGUUGAAACCCCCCCCCCUCACCCCCCGCCCAGUAACUCAGAAUGAGACCUUAUUUGGAAAUGGUGUGAUUAUAGAUGUAAUUAGUUAAGGUGAGGUCAUACUAGAGGAGGAUGGGCUUCUACCAUACGACUGGUGUCCUUAUAAGAAGGGGACAUCUGGAUGCAGACGUGCGCACAGGGAGGAGGCCAGGUGAAGACGGGAGUUCUGUGUCACAAGCCAAGGAACCACCAGGAGCUGGAAGGGAGGCUUGGAACAGAAUUCGCGCCUAGUGCCUUUGGAGGAAGCAUGGCCCCGUGGCACCUUGAUUUCAGACUUCCAGUCUUCAGAACUACGCUGCGGACGGCUCCUCCGCGCAGCCCUCAGCCCAGGUCCAGACCCCCCGGAUCGGCUGCCCGGGAGACGUACGCUGGCAGUGGACGGGUGAUCAACUCGGAUGCAGGCAAUCAUUUUUUAAGUGAAUAAAAUGUUCUCAUUUUGUUUUAACUUUCCCCAAGCUGCCGAAAUGCAGAGGUUCAG